rnacentral:RNase_MRP_RNA from 1 species
CCCUCGCCUGACAAAUCGCUAUCGAAGCUCUCACACAGAGACUCGGUUGCAGUUUCUGCACCGCGUCUCAUUCGUUGAUUCGGAUAUCUGAAGCUUUGGGAGAAAGUCCCCGGACACGGAUUUCACUUUGUGGAAUCUGCUGCGGAAACGCGCCGUCGGAGAUAUUGAUUGCACUCUUUGGGUGCAUUCAUCGACGGCUGACCUCUGCCUGGCCCUUGUCCUCAGUCUGGCCCUCUACCCGCCUCGCUAUCUUUAAACAUCGGCUUGCGCCCUCUACAAGCCGUCUUGGGACACAGCCAGCCUACGGAGCUCGUCAUGAUCUCAACUACCACUACCGCGAACCAGACAGCUUUUGGGACGAAGAUACGAGUCCCUUGUCAUUUGGUCUCUGGGAGUGUGUGGUUGAGUCAUUGGGCUCUUAAGGCUGGUUCCUUUGACGGCGUCGUAAAGGGCGGUCCCGAGCUGGUGGGCGAGUGCGACGUUUACUUGAGGCGCCUAGUGCUGGGGGCGUGAUGGGGGCGCUGGAGGAUUACAUUGUCGUGUUUUGAUAGGCAUGCGAUUGCGCGUUGUGCGUGUUGGGCUCAUGCUGCCUUUGGUAGCUGGAUUCAACAUCUGCGACGGGUUACUCGAUGGGGCUCAUUCUCGGGACGAGG